ACCCGUUCUCAUCAGUCUGCGUAUAAAUAACACGACUUUACACUUUCUAUUUGCGUGUAAUGCAUACGCCAAAUGCCAUUUUUGCGUGCAUAUGAUACGCCAAUCCUUCCCAUUAAUUUCGGUGGAGAGCAGAUGCGUCCAAAUAACACGCAUCAUCUUCAGCGGCAGUGACGUCACCAGCGAGGCUCGUUCAGUUCACCUGAUGCGCGUACACCUUCAAACAGAAUUAACAGGGAACUUCAACUCCACGCUCCCAGUGCUGAUAUUGAAGAAGCUGUCAAGGGGGCUGAACAAGUCCUUCAAAGGAUCAACCCUUCACAGGAAGGCCUGUCAUGAGAUUUGAAUUUGACCAUCUUGUGCAUUUAUGAAGAAGACCAAAAGCUGCAAAGGCAAACACUUCCAAUGGCAGAAACUGAGAGUUUGCAUGAUGGCAUUUUCUCAGACGCUGAAUCUGAUGUGUACAGAUGAACUCAAGAGCCUACUAGAGUUGCCAAGGAACUUGUGCUUGAACUGAAGACCAGAAACGCAAAGAAAAUCAGUCAAACCAGUCCUAAAGAAAUGAGGAAUGAACAUGGACUUCUUGUGCCCCAAAAGAAAAGACAGAAAGCUCCUAAAAUGAGCAAAUAAGCUGUGCAUCAUCUCUGUGAUUUGGGAAGGAAAUGACUGAAUAUGAUGAAGCCAGUUGAUGAAGAUAUCAAUUGAAUGGCCACCGAGUGCAUCACUGCUACCUGAACCCAUCAGUUAUCUUCUGUGAAAACUGCAUUCACAAACCGCUCUACUGCGACAGUUCAGAUGUUACGGCCUGUAAAAGUAAACCUCACAGCUAAACAACGAGAGCUAGUUGUGGUGGGAUUCUUUUGGCCAAUAUCCCCAACAAGAAUCAAUGUUAAGUCCAGUGCAACAAUUAUAAAUAAAAAUACUAUAUAUUGUUUAUUGAUUUACCAUACCCUAAAUACAUGUUUUGGCCCUCCAGGACAUCUAGACCAGGUGGAGUGUGAGGAGGACCGUCAGAGACUCCAGCCAGCCGAGCCAUGGAUUGCUCUCACUGUUACCAUCAGGCAGACGUUAUCACAGAACCUACACCAGCAGACAGUGAGACAAGUUCCUUUCACAGGCAAUCAGACUGAACUGAGCUCAUACCAGUAAAACCAUACACACCCCACCAACCUCAUAUGCCCUGCACUCUUAUCAGUUAUGCUGACAGGACUCAAUAUUAUUAUGCACCCUGACAUUCUGUUUGCACUAAUUCAUACCGUGCUUUACUGCAGAGAUGUAUGUGUACUGUGAUUAUUAUUGUUUUCAAUUCAUGCUCUCUGUAUAGCAUAAUUUUUAACAUAUAUUGUUCUCUACCUGAAUUGAGUCCCUUAUAUAUGUGUGUUGCAUAUAUAUAUUCAUAAUUUGUAUUUCAUAUAUAUUCAUGAAUUAAUUCAUUUGUCAUCCAUACUGUCACGCUGCAGUCUGCACCCAAGACUUUCAUCACCUGUAUACUUGUGUUCAUUGUAUUGUGACAAUAAAGAUAUUUGAUUUAAAUUA